rnacentral:lncRNA from 1 species
ACAACUUCUUUUGAGACCGCUCUGGCUAAGCCACUAAAGUGCCUAGACUGGGCUAGAAUUUGGAAUCCUCGCGCCUCAGCUUGCCAGUGUGCUGGGAUUGCAAGGUGUGCCACCACACCCGACAUGUUUCUUGGUAUAAAAAUUUUGAUGAGAUUACUGAUUUGAGACCUUUCCUCUUGUAUUUACUAUUUACUUAUUUAUUCAUUUAUUUUGUUAUUUUGAGACAGGGUCUCACUAUGGAGCCCAGGCUGGCCUCCAACUCACAGCGAUCCUCCAGCCUCAGCCUCCUGAGUGCCGGGAUGACAGGCGUGCGCCACCACACCAGGGUCAGUGAGAGAACUGGGAGGCGAAGGAACUGGGUGAGGGCAGAUCCACGAGCUCCGGGGAGACCCAGGGACCCAGCUCAGCCCAGGGGCUCUUGUGAGGCCGCCUUUCCCGCUGCGCUCUCCCGGCUCCAUCCUUGGUUGCCAAGGAGACAGGAGGCGGUUGCCAUGGAGAGCGACGACGGCAAGGACCAGCCAAUCACUCCGGAGCUGCGGUUCCAGCUCAUCUUUGGAGGGAGGGAUCGGGCCGGGAGGGCCCUCUGCCCUCUGCGUGGCCCGCGCGGGUGGGCGCGCCGCCCCGUCCCCGCACCAUGCACGGCCACCUCCCCGGGCCCCGCGCCCCGCACCCCGUUCCGGCGUUGCCUCCGCCUCUUCCCGGCGAGGGAUGAUGCCACCCUGGGAGGGGCCCCGCCUGGAAGGGCCCCCCCGCCCCCCUCGAUAAGCGGGUGCGGGGAGGCGGGGCGCCGCAGGAGGGCGGGACCCCCAGCUCCUCCGCAGUGCCCGCGCACGCUCUCUCGCUCUCGGCCGGCGGGCGGGGCCGUGACGUCACCACGCCCCCCCC